GACGAACGCUGGCGGCGUGCUUAACACAUGCAAGUCGAACGAAGUGGCGAACGGGUGAGUAAAGCGUAAUCAACUUGCCCUUCAGAGGGGGACAACAGUUGGAAACGACUGCUAAUACCGCAUACUGAAGGAGGGGCUUGCGUCUGAUUAGCUAGUUGGGGGGGUAACGGCCCACCAAGGCGAUGAUCAGUAGCCGGUAUGAUAGGUUGAACGGCCAAAUUGGGACUGGGACACGGCCCAGACUCCUACGGGAGGCAGCAGUGGGGAAUGUUCCGCAAUGGACGAAAGUCUGACGGAGCAACGGCGCGUGAGUGAUGAAGGGCUUCGGGUUGUAAAGCUCUGUUAAUCGGGACGCGGUACUGAAAUAGAAAGCCACGGCUAACUACGUGCCAGCAGCCGCGGUAAUAC
rnacentral:rRNA from 1 species